CCUACGGGAGGCAGCAGUGAGGAAUAUUGGUCAAUGGCCGGAAGGCUGAACCAGCCAAGCCGCGUGAAGGACGAAGGUGCCAAGCAUUGUAAACUUCUUUUGUCAAGGGAAAAUCAGGCUUGAGUGCCGGACCAAGGGUACUUGAAGAAAAAGCAUCGGCUAACCUCGUACCAGAAGCCGCGGUAGUACGGAGGAUGCGAGCGUUAUCGGGAUUUAUGGGGUUUAAAGGGGGCGUAGGCGGGUUGUUAAGUCAGCGGUAAAAGCACGGGGCUAAACCCCGGCGAGCCGUUGAAACUGGCUGUCUUGAGUUGGCGAGAGGUAUGCGGAAUGCGCAGUGUAGCGGUGAAAUGCGUAGAUAUUGCGCAGAACUCCGAUUGCGAAGGCAGCAUACCGGCGGCGAUCUGACGCUGAGGCACGAAAGCGUGGGUAUCGAACAGGAUUAGAUACCCUUGUAGUC
rnacentral:rRNA from 1 species